UGGAAAAAAAGGAGAACAAAUGACACAAAUAUUGCGAUUACAAUUCAGUGAAAACAAAUAUUAACGCUAGACACAAUGAGACUGAAGAGAAUGUGGUGCUUCAGAUGCAGCAGCUACAGCAGUUUGUGAAGGAUCAUUUUCUUCUGAAUCCAUAGUGAUGCUUUACUGACUGCGGUGAAGUAGAUCUGAAGAGAGAUCCUUAUGAGCAUCGUCAGUGUCUUAGCUCACUCGUUCUCUUUUGUGAACAUUUGACUUCAGCAGCAGGAGAAAAGCAUGAAUCUGUUCAGAGCUUGUUGUGUUUCUGCUGCUUUAACGUGACGUCUCUGAGACAAAUCAACUAACUGAUCAUGACAUCUGAUGACAUCUAUUUUCAUUGCUGAUAUUUCAUUGUUGAAGUGCUACUGAAAACCUCUCAAAUUUGAGGAAUUUGACAGGUAUAGACGAUAAAAUUAAAGAACGGACAAAAACCCUCAUUAAUGUCCGGAAAAGAGCAUAUAACUUCAUUAGAAAUGUGGCUUUCUAUAGAACAGGAGAUCCCUAAUGCUGACAAAGUUCUGUUGCUGAGGCAUGUAGGCGUAAUUUAGUUACCCUGCUGAAUAAUGCGACUAGAGAAAAAUAGAAGAAAAACUAGUUGAGUAUGAUCCUGGUACAAAACAUGUUAAAACCAUGAGGAAAUUUACACCGCAAAAUAAACAAGCUCAAGGGCUACAGUUUAAAAAUAAUUUUAAUACCAAUAAAUUCCAAAGGCCAGAAAGAUUUAAAAAUAAAUAAUAAUAAUAAAAUACAUAAAUAUGUAGCAGGAUAUUAUGGUGAAACAAGGAAGGUUAACCAGUUCACUGGAAAUAGACAGACGUCUCAGACAGAAAAAAAAAGGAAACCUGUAUGCACAGGGAGGGAGAAAACUUCCACAGAAGUGAAAAAUGGUAAUAUGACCCCCGCAGAACGAACUAAAAUAAUUGAAGACCUUAAGAACAAAAAUCAAAACGGAAAAAAGAUUAGGAGGACUAAGAUAAAUCAAAAGAUGGAAAAACGCUCUAAAUUGAACGACGAGGAAACAUGCAAAACUAAGAAGAAGGAGCGAGUCAACUCUGAUACAGAAUGAAGCUAAGCUGGCCAGUUGAAACAGAGACUGUGUGACCCAAAAGUUAAAGAAGAAAAUGAAAAUGUAUAUAUUAAUAUUCAUGGAACAGAGUAUUUGAUUGACACAUGCAUGAAUGUCUGUCUCAACUGAGUCUUUAGAGAUAAAUAGUACGAUACAGGUACAAACAAAUGACGGACAAGUUAAAACGGGAAAAACAGGCGAACGAUAUGGAAUUACUAUUGAAAGUUCUGAAAAUUUAUUAGCAGCAAAAGAUCUGAAAAAGGUUUUAAGAUUAAAACCCGCUAAUUAGGAGAAAGAAUUAAGAAGAAUCAGAAAUGAAAUUAAAGGUUAACAAUGGGCUAAGGACCAGUUAAUGUCAGAGCUACUUCAUAUGUACGGAGCAAAAAUAACUGCGGCAAAGUAGAUGAUAGGUUUGCACAUGUUAUCGAGGGUGGAAUUCAUAAACCACAAAGGCAAUACCCAAUUAAUAAAAACGGAAUGGCAGAACUAACUUUUACCAUAAAAGAGCUUGAAGAACAGGGAGUUAUAAAACAAGUUAAAGGAGCGAUUACUAACUCGCCGAUCCAGUUAGCGGGGAAACCGGACGGGACAUAUAGAAUUCUUACAAACUUUAAGACUUUGAGUCGUUUAACAAGACCGGAUAAACGUUAUGUAAUUAACGCAUGAGAUACAGUUGAACAAAAUACGAGAUGGACAGUUUUAUUCGAAAAUUUAUUUUGCCAGUGGAUACUCGAUUCCUCUAGCUGAAGAAAGUCAGGAAAAGACUGCUUUUACUGUAAACAACAAACAUUAUGUUUACCGACGUUUGUUGAUGGGUUAUUAAAACUCACCUAUAACUUUUCAAUUGGUAGGCUAAGGUGUGAAAUGCUGAAAGAUUUAGACGUUGAACUUUAUAUAGACAACAUAUUAAUUGUGUCAAAUGGAGACCUUGUAACAGAAUUGUUGAAACGACUUGCGGAGGCAGGUUUGAAAAUAAAUAUAAAAAAGAGACAAUUAAUGACUGAUAUAGUCGAAUUUUGGGGAUUUUGGAUUUCAGCAGGUAACAGAGGGGUUACUUAGUCAAUGACAGUCAGAGUAAAUCAACUUGAGACCCCAAAAACAGUUAGACAGAGCCAGCAAACAAUGGGGUUACUGGGUUAUGUUAGAUACUUAAUCCCUCGCUUUAGCCAGAUGUCUAAACUUAUUUAUGAGACUAUCAAAGGUGGACAACUGAAAUGAAAAAAAAAAAAAAAAAACCUAAGAAUCGUUGAUAGAAAUUAAAACAGCUAUAUUAAACUCAGGACAGCUGGAAGGAAGAAAUGAUGAGAAAAAUUUAGAAGCUGACUUGGAAACAGACGAAACUAAGAAGAUAAGAGAUAAGAAAAGUAACAUACCUGUUAGAAUUAUGACUGGAAGCUGGGAGAUCCAAGAACUUAAAUUUACUGGUGUGAAGAAGCAGCUGGCAACACUUAGCAAAUGAUAUUCCGAGCUGAAAGGCCUGGCAAGGGGCCAGAAAAUAUUUGUUAACACGAAAACAGCAGUAUUAGCUCAUCUCUCCAAAAACAAUGUAAAGGAUGCACGUGCGCUUAAUAGCCAAUGGCAGUGAUGGAAAAGUAUGCUUCCAGAUCCAGAACUGAAAAUCAGACAAACAGUACUUAAAAAAUGCCAGAAAAAGAUAUUAGAGCUUUAUAAAAAUACAGUUGUUUUCACAGAUGGUUCAAAAACGGCCACAGACGAUGAAGCUCAAUGGGCUUUCAUUCUGAAACAGAGCAACAAGGUCAUAGCUUCAAAAGAGGGAGUAGUGCAAGGCACAGGACAGUACACAGAGCUCAUGGCAGUGUUCCAGGCUUUGAAAACACUGAAAAACUUGGAUAUUUACAGGCCAUAAUAGUGACGGAUUGCAGUUGCAAAAGGAAUUAAUGACAAUUUGCAAAUCUGGAAUGAGAACGGUUACACCAAGUCAAAAGGAAUGAUGAAAUUACAAGACGGAGACGAGAGAGAGAAAUGGGCCAGGAAAAUAAAACGCUGGUGAAAACCCUGUAUACCAUGACCUUGUCUGACGGUAUUAUUAGUAACAGGGGUUGUGAUUUUAACAGGAAUUUGGCCAAUAAUUGAUUUCACUACAAAAUUGAUUGUGGUUGAUGAGAUUACUGUUAAAGAAGUUUCCCACUGUACUAUAGUGACUAAAUUCUUUUCAGGGUCAUGUGAGCUAAAAACAUUGGAAGGAUGUAGCCAAUGUGAGGAAAUAAUUAAAAAAUAUACAGUGGGGUAAGAUACAUUAGUGAAAUGUAGAAUAAGGUCAAGCCCAUGUAACAUUACACAAAUAAAGAAAAUUUGGAUUUGGCACUGCCUGCAGCAAAUACUCUAUAUUGGACCUAGGGAGAUACUAGGGUGGUACAUGGGCAACAUAGAAGACAUAAUUAUGCUAAAUAAAGAAACCCAGAUUAUCGAAACUCCGCUCAUUUCCGAUAGAUAGAGGUACCCAAUGUGUAAAAUAUGGAUUUUAUGAUAAUAAACGUGCAUUCCAAAGAAACUGUGAAAAAUAUUAUAAUGACAAUAAAUAUACAAUGUAUGAAACUACAAAAAAAUUAUGGGAUCCAUUUGCAUGGAUAAAUUGGUUUAUAUAUUGACAUAGGUUAAUAUUAAUAUAUUAUUAUAUAUUAAUAUUGGUUAGGUGAAACUACUGAAUGAAUUAGUGUAUAUUCCAAAGGAUUGAGAACUUGUGGGAAAAUGUGCUUACUGAAAAUGUAACUGAAAGGGAUCAAAUGAUAAUACAGUUAAUUUGUAUUAUUUAUUUUUAGUUAUUUGGUGAUACAGGAACUAAUAUUUUGGAGAGCAUUACUGUGAAAAGCAUUAAAGCUCAAAAAAAAAAAAAAAAAAAAAAAAAACAGAGACUAUCAUGAUGUAAUGAGUAUAAAAGAUAAAAAUUAAAAUAUUAAAUAUAAAAAUACCUGGCUAAGCGCUUACUAUCCUUUUCCUGUAGUUUGGAUGAGAUUUCAGGUAAAGGAUAGCAGAAUACUUUGGGCUAUUUCUAAGGAAAUCCCAGAAUACCAUAAUGUUAUGACUAUAUCAAAACCUAAUUAUAAAAUGUCAGUUAAUAUCAGUGGCAGUCUAGAUGACAAAAAGGUUUUGACCAUUGACAGAAGCUUAUUGGACUGUUUAUUACUUUACAGGAAGACAAGGCUUAUUUAAAUAUGCCUUUAGAUAGUUAUUUUAGAAGAUUGGGUAUUAAUUAAGGAAUUAAUGGGAUGUUGGCUUAAGAAGUCUAUUCGUAUAAGCCCAUAUAUAUGGAUAAUAGAGAGAAUUAUGCUGAAGAAGAUAAAGGGAAAUGUAUGACCCCGUACCCAUUGUAUUGGACAGUAGCUAGACUACAAUAUACUAAAUUACAUGCAGGAUACAGACAAUGGAUAUUUGAUACUGUAUGUUAUUUUACUAGUAGGAGCUUUCAUGGGGAUUUUGAUUUUGUGAGAACUAAAGGGCCUUGGAGGACUGAUAAGAAGUUUAUUAAAAAUCUGUUAUUCUACAGUCGUUAAUAUUAUCAUGCAGGUGUUUGGGCUUAGUAGGAGUAGAGAUAAAGAGAACAAACAAGUGCACAUUGAAAGAGGGAUUCAUCGAAAGACCUUGACCGAACGUAGCACUUCUUUGGUGCAUAAGGUCUGAGACUUUACUUCUGAAAUAAAUGGCAUUUCAACAGAGUGCCACGAAGGGUGAACAGUUGAGUGAUAUACCAUGGAUAACUGUAAGAAUGAUUCUACCUGCAUUGCUGUUUUGUCAGGAAACGGUGACAACCUUUUGGAAAUUCUGGCAGAGAAAUUCGUGGAAUUCCUGGAGAAGGAGGAUUUAACUCUGACUCAGCCCGCCUUCACGCCCCAAGGUGCUAAGAAUCAAACAAGCGGCUCGCACACCAGAAGGUAUGCCUGGAAUGCCAGAUCCCCUCUCUUGGCUUUUGAAGAGGAUGUCAGAGACAGGGGAAGAGCCGUGCGUUUCUGAGUGAGGACCCCUGGGGGCGUCAGAUUGAGGCUUGUGUACAUGAAAUUACGAACGGACGAUUGUUGAGAGCAAGAUUUGGACACUAUCUUAGCAUUGUCAAGCAGAGCACAAAGAUUUGGUCACCUGAUACUACUGUAUCUGGAAAUUAGGAAAAAAAAAAGAGUGCAAGGGGAAAGAAAGAAUGCUCGAGUUUGGGUUGAAAACUAUAUGGAUGUGUUUCAAACCAAAUUACUGAUGCAUGAUGGCACUGUGUAUAUGAUUCUUGCAAAAUAUAACAAGUUUAAAAAACAUGUUGAACUGUACUUUAGCUUGAAGAUGUUAGGAUGAAAUCAGCCAGCAAAAUUGCAAAGCAGUGGGUGUUAAUGGAGAUGAUGAUUUUGCAAUUGUAUUGUCUUGAUUAAUGCUUAAUUUGCUAUAAACAGAUGUACGGUAACCUAAGUAGUAAUAAUGCUUUUGCUUAAGUACAAAGAUGUAACCCUGUGAUUAAUACUAUAUGGAAAAUGUAUUGCGUAACUACACUAACAUUAAGAAAACUGCUUACUUGCAUGAAAUGUAUGUAGUUACUGAUUUAGAGUAGAAACACUUAUGUAUUAGAAAUAGUUUUUAUGAUAAAUGGACAAUAUAGUAUUUAAGGUGUAUUUCACCGACUGUUAAGAGGAAAAAGAAGAGGAAAAGGGCUAAAGCAAUGCGACGUAAACAACUGAAAGCCUCGGCAGAGGAGUCGGCAGCACUCCAGGUGAUGACAUCAGAAGAACCAGCGUUCGACGUCUGUGUAUAAAAGACUGCGAGAGAGACUCGACCGACGGAUACUGAACAAGCACAGUAUCCCUCGACGCCUGAUACCAGCUGAUUAUAUCUUGAUUUUGUAACUUUACUAUUGUACUUUGAUAUAACUUUUGUUAAUUUUAAUAAAACUUGUAUU